UCUGUGGUGGCAACCCCUUGAGGUCAAGACCCCACAAUCAGAUGAGGAUGGAGUGGCUCACCCUCAGUCAACAGGCCAGACUCAAGGGGUUCCAGGCAAGUCAGUUCUCCCUCAGGCCUUCGGUUUCCUCACCCACAAGAUGAGAGGGCUGGACCAGAUGGAAAUUCAGGGGGCUAUUAAAAAGCACCCAGGUAUGCUGGCAAAUUGACAAAGCACUCUGUGCAUAACCACGAAAAACACAUUUUCUUAAAGACCCAAGAAGACCCUCAUUUUCAGCACUGGCUGACCUUCAGGCUCAGCUCAGCAGAAAGUGAAGACUGAAGCAAAGUUUUCAACAGUCUGCACAUGUGUUAAAGGAACGCCCCAGCCCAGAGCCAUCCACAAAAACUGGAAGAAUCCGUCAGUUUGUCUUUGUCUCAGUUUUGUCAUAUAGACCUUUGUGACACACAGAUCUAUAUACAAUGGAAACUACAAAUUUCUAAUGAAAGAGCCAUGAAAGAUCACAAAAGAUCUUAAUAAAUAGAAAGACAUUUAAUGUGCAUGAUCAUAAAAUCUCAAUAUUGUCAAGAUAUAAUUUCUCCCCAAUUUGAGUUAUAGGCAAGAGAGUCACAUCAUCUAGGUGAUUGGCCAAACAUAUGUCACAAUCCCUUCCAUUGACAGCUCCCAAAAAAGGAGUUACAUCACCUAGGUGCUCAGCUCUGAGAUGUGUCACAACAUUGCCCAAUACAGGCAGGCCACAGGCGGGAGAGUCACAUUUCCUGGGUGCUUGGCCCAGUGGUAUGUCACAUUUCCUUAUGUAGGAAGGGCACACGUAGCAAGAGAGAGUCACAUUACCUAGGUACUGUGCUAGAGCUAUCAGUCUCUGUGUCGUUCAAUGUGAGAGUUAUGAUCUCUUUAGACAUCCAUGUAACAGAGCCUCAACUCCUUCAUCCUCAGAUGUAAAGGCUAGUGAAGACCAAAUAAGCCUUGAAAGGCUGGAGCCCAUGCGAGGGUCUGCAGUCUUUGUUCCGGAUGGGGAACUACUGCUUCAGCUGGUUACCCAGGUGUCCCCGAUGGGGAAAGGAAGGAAAUGGUGAGAAUCUUCAGCACAACGGAUCACAUCACCCUGGCAGAGACCAGUCCGGCCUGCGCAUGGCACCAGCAGCCGCAGGCUAGAGGCAGUCAUGUCAGGCCUCCUCCAUACAGCAUCUCUCCUGCUUUUUUUUCAAACGGCCCUAAUCACUUAAUUUGGUCAUCUUCCCUGUCACAAUGGGGCACCUGGCGCUAUAGACACUUGGGAAACACACAGAUCUGGGGUCCUACAGUGUCCAGGUGAAGACGCCGGGAGUCAGAGAGGAAAGUCUUUUGAAGCCUCCAAAAGGAAUGCACAGGACCCCACUUGAAGAGGUGGAGUGCCCAGUGGCGGAUACAGGCCCCACACAUCGCAGCAGUAAACAGGGACUCCACGGUGUCCAGCUCUCCAGCCUGGGGUUUCUCAUCACCCAGUGAUUCCAAAAGAAACGAUCUACAAUGGCAUGACUAAGUUCCAGAAACAAAUAAACAAAAUACUGAGGGAAGCCCGUUGGUCACUUUGAUUCUUCAAAGGUGACAAUUGUCCCUCCCUGAAAUCUUGUGAGUGCAUGAACAGGCUAUUCUAAUGUAAAUGAAAUUCACACUAAAACUGAUUGAAAGAUGAUUCUGUUUCCAAGGUACUUUGUAUUCUCAAAUUGCACCUGCUUACCCUGGCCCCCUCAAAAUGGAAGAGUGAUGACUAUUUGUCUUCGUAGCACUGUGGGGACACAGAGCCUUAAAUGGAAGAGUGUCAAAAGCAACAUUCCAUAAAGGGCUGUCACUUCCAAUUUUCAAGCAAGGUUGGAAACCAACCAUGAUGUAUGAAACACUGUUGGCCAAAGUGCACAAUUAGUAAUACAAAAUGAAUAAUAUAAACUAUUGUAAAUAUGUGUGGACAUCGUGGCAAUUUGGACAUCAAAAAACACUGCCAAAUUCAGAAAGAGGAAGCUGUAAACUCAUGGCUGUUAGGAAGCUUAACUUCUGUGUACUAGAACCUAUCAAAAUUAAAUUUCUCCAUGUCAAUCCGUCCAAACAAA